rnacentral:tRNA from 1 species
GUGGCGGGUAGCUCAGUUGGUAGAGUUCCAAACAUCCUUAAUUCAUAACUUGUCCGAAAGGGCCGACGAUUUGAGGGUUAUCGACUAUUAAUCGAGGGGUCGCGGGUUCGAGUCCCGCCCCGCUACACCA